rnacentral:lncRNA from 1 species
CUCUCAUUUAUUCAAUAGGAAAUGAGAAAGAAAAUUCACACAGCAUCUCACGAGGUCUUGCAGCGCCCAUCUAGAGGGACAUUGUCAGCAGCGUAUAUAGAAGCUGAGAAUGGGAACUGUAGCCACACCACAUGCUUCUUGGUCUUGCCCUAUCAAUGCACCCUGACCUUGACAACCUGGUAAUGUGUAAAUCCGUAUAGGCUUUCCAUCAAAGCCAAUCUUGUAACCUCCAGUUGCUACUGCUAGAGUCUGGCACUGACCACAACUGGAGUAUGUACCAGUUGCUACAACACAACCUGGUAAAACAUACGUAGUGAUGUUAGUGAGCGCUCCCACACCUCCGGUGGCCAAUGCAAUCACAACCAUGAUGAAUGAGAGCGCACAUACACUACUCUUGAAUACCCUCAUGUUAAUUGCUUGCUGGUGAUGUUGUUGCUUUGCA